GGAUCAAAGAAAAAAAAAUGGAAGCACUUUGACAGAAUGCUGUUUUUAAAGGAUACUCUCAUUACAAAACAGACGCACAACUCAUUCAGAUAUGAAAGAACCAAAUACAGCAAUUCAGCAAAUUGCAGAUGCUAUAUCUACAAUUGCAACUCCUAUGCAACCGUUAACAUUGCCACCAUCUCCGACCCUAGACGAAGUAGAUGGAUUAUUUUUGAUACUUGGGAGUCAGUUAAGGCAACAAACAGAAGAGCGAAAAAGGACUUUAAUUUUAGAAAUAUUGCAAUUUAUGUAUGAAAAAUUAAACUUCUAAAUGCUAUCUAAUAUUA